CAAAAGCGUAUAUUAAAGUUGUUGCAGUUAAAAAGCUCGUAGUUGAACCUUGGGCUUGGCUGGCCGGUCCAUCUUUUUUGAUGCGUACUGGACCCAGCCGAGCCCUUCCUUCUGGCUAGCCUUUUGGCGAACCAGGACUUUUACUUUGAAAAAAUUAGAGUGUUCAAAGCAGGCCUUUGCUCGAAUAUAUUAGCAUGGAAUAAUAGAAUAGGACGUUAUGGUUCUAUUUUGUUGGUUUCUAGGACCAUCGUAAUGAUUAAUAGGGACGGUCGGGGGUAUCAGUAUUCAGUUGUCAGAGGUGAAAUUCUUGGAUUUACUGAAGACUAACUACUGCGAAAGCAUUUACCAAGGACGUUUUCAUUAA
rnacentral:rRNA from 1 species